UGGGUCUAAGUCCUGUUUCUAGUCUAGCUGCCCAUUUCUUGGCUCCCAGACUGCAAGCUACCCAAAGGGCAAGUUCUACUUUACCUUUGACAUGGUAUUCGUGAUGCUUCCCACAUUGUCAGAUCAUGAGCCCCAGUGGUACUUUCCGAGUUAAGGACUGGCGCUACCCCUCCAUUUAUCCACCCGCUGCCCUUCACUGUCAUUCACCCAGCCAUCAGCUAGUCACUGCCCACCUUCCACCUGCUGCAGUCUGCCUGGUGCUACCAGGUGUGACCAAAGAAGCAUCUCCAAGCAUCUCUAAGAAGGAAUAAAUUUCUUUCAUCCUUGGACUUCUUACUGGACCAAAUUCUUAAGAGCCCCCAAGGAACCAUGAGAAGCUCCACCCUCUGACUCCAGGGCGGAGCGGCCAAGGACAGCUGAGCAUGGCUGGUAUUUCUCAAAGGCUGACAAGGGCAACAUGAGCACAUAAAGACACACAGUGGCAUAAAGAUGCCACUAAAGAUGCACAAAGACCCCCAAAUAGUGUUCUGGGUAUAGGCUGCAAUUG
rnacentral:lncRNA from 1 species